CACAUCUCUCUGAGGGAUACAAGUAUGGCUGUUAACCUUUUCCAAUCAUGCUGGGCGGUUCCACCACUUCUAGAUUUUAGAGGCUGUGGGGAAUCAAGAUUCUUCCAUCAUGAAGUGUGUCAUAUGCAGUUCUGACCAGCAGGAUGUGGAGUGAUGGGUGUUCAGCUCAGCUGUCAUGGGAUGCCGUAUGACUGAUGGGCCAGCCUGAUGUUUACGCUGUCUUGACCUCUGACCCUGAAGGGUCGAGCUGUUGUACGUCACCCAUCUCUGGCACUUCAGACCAGACCAUCUCUCACUGUCUCCUCGUCUCCACAGCGACCAGACGGCUGUGAGGCCACUGGAUGGAGGGAGUGCAAUGAGCUGUCUUUUUUCUAAUGAAUAGUGCUACUAUUCUGUGAGUGACCUGUCAGAUGUGACAGGCGAGACGUGAGGGAUUGUUCAAAGACACUAAAAAAAGCAAAAACACAAAAGCCUGAGCUUCAAGAGCAUCUCCAGACCACAACAAAACAGCAGCCUGCAAGAGGAGCUGACAGGUCUCCUGAAGAGUGAUGGCUAUUUCCACAUACAGUGUUACUGGCACGAGCGAGGAGAAUGGCAGCCCUCGCAAGUCCACCUCCACUCCUGUCAGCAGGAUAGUUAACACAACACUGAGGGCCAUAAGUCAGAAGCCAAAGGUCAAAGGUCAAGGUGGUCCUGAGGCUCUCUUUUUCUGAAUUUCUAUUUUAUUUGACUUUUUUCCCGUGAAUACUUCACACAUGGUAAUAGUAGAGAGAAAUGGUAAGAAGUAAAUUAUUUUUCAUGCCCCAAGUCAAACCAGAUAUGCUAUUCCAGUCGCUCCACAAAACAGACAUGCUUAUAAUAAAUGACAAAAAUAAAUAGCAAAUGCUAAGGACAGAUAAAUAGGAAAAUGUUGUUGUUGUUAUUAUUAUUAUUAUUAUAAGUUAGUGCUGUCAAAUCAAUUAAUCACAUCCAAAAUAAAAGUUUGUUUACAUAAUAUAUGUGUGUAUAUUUAUAUGUAGCCCUAUAUAUAAAGACAUACAUGUGUAUAUAUGAACACAUGUAAUUGUAUUUGUAAUUGUAUAAUUGUAUAUAAAACAAUUAUAUAUUUGUGUUUUAUAUAAUUAUAUAUUAGUGGUGUCAAAAUUAGCGCGUUAACAAAGGCAAUAAUUUUUUUCAGUAUAACGUGUAAAAAUAUUUAACACAGUUAACGCAGGGGCAGGACCAGGUUUAGCCAACAGUUUUUUUCUUUUGUUUCAGGCGCGUGCUCCAACUUCACCUCAGCGCCAGGCGUGAGUCGCACGAGCAUGGAAAUGGUACUGUGCUUGGAGCGAGUGCUCUUCAACUGCACGCACAAAGGCGCCGGCGCGUGCUGUAGCUUGUAUCAUUUACUACUCGCAUGCAAUGUCAUGGUCAGUCAUGAAGUUACCAAAAAGGCCAUUAACCUUUUAAGACCUGGCAAAACAUUUUAGGAAAAAAAAUAAAUAAUAAUAAUGUAUUUUUUCAUGUCAUUACAUUGUUUAGAGCAUAAAAAAAGAAAUGAAAAGAAAAAAAAAACUGAAAAAACAUAAUCACCAAUACAUUUUUAGUUUUCUGGAUUUUUAUUUUUUACCAAACUUUGUAGAAAGAUAGUUCUCAACUAUGUUAUAACAGAAUGAUUUAAUAUACCAUUUUCUUUAUGAAAAAAUGUGUAUAAAAUGUCCAUAAACAGGUUUUCUCGUUAUAUAUAACGUAUCUUUAAACUAAAUCUAAUUUGCAUAUUAAUGUGUUUUUGGGGCAACAUGUAACGAAAAAAAGAAGUGUAAUAAUGGGAGUAAUAAUUGACCAGAUUUUCAUAAUAAUAUAUACUAUUUCAUAGGAAUAUUAAAAUAUAAUUUCUUUCCCUAUUCAUUUGUUAUUUGUGUGUGUGUGUGUGUGUGUGUGUGUGUCUGUGUGU
ensembl:lncRNA